GGGGCUAUAGCUCAGAAGGGAGAGCGCUUGCAUGGCAAGCAAGAGGUCAGCGGUUCGAUCCCGCUUAGCUCCACCA
rnacentral:tRNA from 1 species